UGGUGUGCAGCCAAAGGGUGCAUUUCAACCCUGCAGUAUGAUUACUCUGGAUGGAGGCCAGCUCCCUCUCUCUCCCUCUCUCUCUCUCUCUCUCUCUCUCUCUCUCACACACACACACCCUCCCCCUCCCUCCCUGAGCUCCCCCCACCCCUUUCCGUCUCCCAGCCUUCAAAGGCCUUCUGCCAAACACGCAGGGGUUGCCAUGGCAGCAGAAACUGGAACAGAAAAAAAAACACAGUAAUGAGGUAGGCUUGGGUCCAGAUGUGCCACAUGUGUGAGUAUUAACGAUCCACUUCGCGCACAGCUGCCCGUCAAGAGAGACAAUCAGUACCGAACUGGAAAAAAAAAAUCAGUUUUGCGUAAAUUAUGAAGAAAAAACACACCCAGAAUAGCCCUUCUGUGACAAUGUUAAAUAAGACUAAGAGCCAUUUGCAAAUUAUGUGGUUUAGCCAAAGCUGCUGGGACAGUUUCAAUAUUGAUCAGGCAGCAGAGACAGCCUCCCCCCCACAUAAACAUGCCCCAUUAAUAAAUCCAAAAUGGGGACAUGGAUUUUAGUGCUUUGUUGUUCAGGGUUUGCUGUGUGUUUCUCCUGCGCAGUCAUCUCAGCGCAGCGAACCCAGACCAUCUGAGGCCCUGGUUACCGAGGGAAAUGACGGCGCGGCCGGAUACCCCAGGAGCUGGAACAACACAGCCGAGCACAUAAAGUCCCCAAAGCAGCGUUUCACGUCACUCAGGUCACUGCUUACUUCCUGUAAGCUGCCAGCUACCUAGGGGUGGGGGCAGGCUUGGGACCGAAGGGGACGUCAGCAGUUUAUACAGUGCUCCGAGAUGGGAGAGCUGGUGCCGGUGGCCCCGGUAGGAGGGGGAUGGGGGCCCCGCCUGCUGUCGUGCAGCUGUCACCGGACACCGUGUCCCCAAGUCGGUGUCACGCUCAGCCACGGAGGGUUUUCUUCCCCCAGAUGCCGGUAGCUUCCGCACGUGACAGCAUGUGGAAAAGCAGUCGUCGCGUCGCACACACACUCCAUGCUGCAGUGGCAUUUCCUAAUGGAUCACGAGAGAGAGGGAGAGGGAAGGAGAGAGGAGCGUCAAUGGAUUCAGCUGCUCACACACACUGCUCAGACUUCCAGUGCAUUUCAACAUGGGCCUGAAUGCAGUGGGGUGCAGGAAAAGCCGCAGUCUUGCUGCUGGAACAGGAGUGACAGCCCCCCAUUUCAGCAGGCCUCUCACUACGAUAACCUCACAGUGCUGCCGUCACGAUGAAACUAUUCGUUUGAAUUAUAAUUGCGCCCAGAUGUGAAAGAAGGACCUUCCAGAACUGAAAGAAAUGAAUGAAACAACUUCCUGAGCAGAAUGUUCUCACGCUUUCCAUGGACCCGGGAUCCUCCUACUAAUUUCUUAGAGUCACACAAACUGGAAGUUAAGGCCCAGUGACAUUCACACUCUCACGUCUGGCACUUCAUGGGUCCCUUCGUCAGCUUUAACGAACUUCUGUGCCGCUGUGUCAACACUCGAGCGGGGUUCCUGCAUGGACCUGCUGUGUGCUGUACUCUCUUAUCGCUUGAAAUCCCAUGGUCACACCCUAUUAGGUGCGAAACCUGUUUCGCCUGCAUGACAUUAAAGCCUGUGUGUGCCCAGAAAAAAA